rnacentral:rRNA from 1 species
UACGAAGGGGGCUAGCGUUGCUCGGAAUCACUGGGCGUAAAGCGCACGUAGGCGGACUCUUAAGUCGGUGGUGAAAUCCUGGAGCUCAACUCCAGAACUGCCUUUGAUACUGAAAGUCUUGAGUAUGGAAGAGGUGAGUGGAAUUCCGAGUGUAGAGGUGAAAUUCGUAGAUAUUCGGAGGAACAACCAGUGGCGAAGGGCGGCUCACUGGUCCAUUACUGACGCUG